AUGCUUACCUGACAGGGGAGAUGUCUUGAUCACAAAGGUAGUUUUUCUGGGGUAAGGUGUAUUCAUUGAACUGUAGAUGUGCUGACCCCUGUGAUUUCCCCAAAUGUGGGAAACUUGAUGGCAUAAUUUGUGGUAGUAAGGGCCUGUGUUCGUACUUUUCUAUA
ensembl:snRNA U1 U1 spliceosomal RNA